UGGAGAAACCGGUUGGGUUCGUGUCAUUCAUUAACUUACGCAGCUGGAUUUUCAACCCGGGAACUUAAGGCAGCUUGCCGUGGUGGGGACUGGAGCUCAGAUUGCAGGGAACGCCGUCCAAAGCCCUCUGCUUGUGUCUGAGACCUCCAGGCUGGCUGGGAUGGCCCACAAGGCUGGCGUCUGGAGACUCCCUAGUGGCCAGCACAAGAUGGGUAAUGGACAGACAGACUGCCUGAGAUCAUUCAUUCAUUCACUGAGCACAAAUGGACUGAGCACCAACCUGGCCCAGGCACUGUUCUCGGGAAACAGCAGCAAACAUGGCAGAGUCUCCUGGGAGGACCCCUCUGGCUGCAGGUGGGCGAUGGCCUCAGGGACUGUGCAGAGGCAGGAGACCAGGGAGGCGGUGACUGCGAUAGUUCCGGUCGGAGAGGAUGGAGGCAGACCAGGGUGACCACGGAGGAAUGUAGACGUGAUGGCAGUGCCAGAGCAGUUACCUUGGACCAUGAGGUGGAAACUGCCGGUUGAAGAUGGAAGAGCAGCUGUAAGAUAGCAAGAAUCUGAGUCCCUGAUACCACGAAGCUGAUGUGGGCUCGGCGAGCUGAGGAGUCAGAAGAAAGAUUUCUUGGAGUCUUAAGGUCUGGUAGUAGUGCUCUUUUAUUCAGAGAAUAGCAUGGCGACAGGACCCAUGGGCAGUGAAGAGCUGCAAUGGAUUGAGGGCAGGGCUAAAUUUAUAAGGUGUAGGUGUAUGAGUUAUCUCUUUACAAGACAAAGGAAAGAUCAUGUAAAAAAGUCAUUAAAAUGGUAUCAGUGCAGGUGGGGUCUGGUUAUUGGGUGGUCCUAUAACUUUGGAUAUGAGUCAGGUCGAAUCAGUUCAGGAUGUCCUAUGCUUCCUGGAGGGUGAUAUAGAUUGACAUGUAGGCCAGGACGCCUUGGGCUUCUCUCCCUGGGGCAGCCUUGAUCCUCAUCAUGAAGUCCUCCCUGAACCCAUUUGGCCUGGAAAUCCUUUGGCGAUAUGGACAAUGGUCAGUCUUCUGUAACUACUCCCGGCCGUACAAGGUCGUAGAGCUGUCCCUAAAUGGGGACCACAGGGGUACAGGCAGGACGUUCAGUGGACUGGAAGGUUGCAUCCAUGGAGUCCAAGGCUGACAAGGUGUACAGAUCCCCUGGAGAUGAGAGAAUCAUUUGAUGAGAGGUGGUCCAGGAGGCGAAACUUUGUUGACAUGUGGAAGACAAUGAAACAGACAACAAAUUAUAAUAGGAAAUACAAGCAAUGUGACUAACCCAAUGAAUGAGGCUUUGAUAGUAGUCCAGAGACCUGGACCUGACCAGGAGUCCAACCAAGCAUUUAGGGACAGGGUGGGGUCAGACAUGGAUUUAAUUUGGUGGCUCAUAUCAGAUAGGAAGCCAGAGAUAUUUUGAUGGUAGUCAGGAAUAUAGACACAACGUUCAGUUUUUGUAAUGGCACAAGUGCCCCCCCGUGCCACCGUCAAGACAUCCAGUGCCGUUUGGUUUUGGAGGACCCCCUUACGCAUUUGGGAUACUUCUAAAUUGAGCAGUGAAAGGCUAUGUUGUGUAUCGUUUAAUGCCUUCAUGCUAAGUUGGCCUAGGGCUUCCAUGUGCCAGAUGACACUUUCAAUUCCUAAUUGGGGAAAGAAAAUUGAGGCAAGGUGAUCACAUCAGUGGAAGACAGAAUGGGUCCAGCGUUGUCACAGCUUGGGUAGGUUAGCAGGAGGAGAUAUAGUAAAUGUAGUUCUGCCUUGCAUCCAGACGAAACCUAGGGUGCAUUGUCCAAGCCAUCUAGGCGGCAGCCAAGGCCAUAGGUUGGAGCCACAUAGCCACUGAGUGCCAUUAGGGGCUAACCAAUGUACGCUGGGCCAUCUAUCCCAGUCAGUCCCAAACCAAUCAGUAUUUCUUAAGGCUAUGAUAUGAGAACACACAUAAUGGGGAAUUUUCCCCAUAGGUUGGGUGCUAUUAGGCCAUAUAUCACAGGUGUGAUUGGUUUGUUCCCAACAUAGUGGCCUUUUGACUGAGUUGACCACUAGUAGGAGUGAGCCAAAUAUAUUCAUCCCAAAUUUGAUAUAGUCCAUCCUGUGUGUAUUGAUAGGUUGGGGACUUUACCUUAGGAAACUCAUUGUUUAUGAUCCACCUGUGACAAGGCAAAUCUAGUUAGAAUUUGGGCAGUAGAGUUGAAGGAAAAGGUUUGAUUGUGGCCAGGGAACUCCCAGGUAUCAGAGACGGAUGGCCACAAGGAGACAUUAUGAUUAGUAACAGAUGAAUCUUGUAGAAGAGAAGAGCUGGAAUCUAAUACCCAUGAAUGUGUACUAUAGCUUCUACUGAAACAAUUUUUCUCUCUAAAAUCACCCUCAUUUUUACAAAAGAUAGCCAAAUUAAGAUUAACUGGUUUGCAAAAUAAGUUUAGUUUCAAUAAAACUUGGUCCAAUUAUUUACAUAAGUGCAGCAAGAAUUGGUCAUAUAGGCUCUUUUAAAUCUGCUUUGCUGGAUUUUUUUAUGAGGAAUCUCAGAUUGAACUUUCAACGCCUCUUGAGGCCAGGAAAGCCAAGCCAAGGACUUGCCAUCAGAUUUUUCCUGCAGUACCUACAGAUUUGGGUGGACUCCUCUCUUCGAGGUCCCCCAAAAUAUUUGGGGUUCCAGGCACCUGCCAGAUAAGUCACCUUCCUUGCUUGCCAAGUAAUAUUGUUGGAAUCCCUGUAAACA
rnacentral:lncRNA from 1 species